rnacentral:rRNA from 1 species
UACGAAGGGGGCUAGCGUUGCUCGGAAUUACUGGGCGUAAAGCGCACGUAGGCGGCUCUUUAAGUCGGGGGUGAAAUCCUGGAGCUCAACUCCAGAACUGCCUUCGAUACUGUAGAGCUUGAGUUCGGGAGAGGUGAGUGGAACUGCGAGUGUAGAGGUGAAAUUCGUAGAUAUUCGCAAGAACACCAGUGGCGAAGGCGGCUCACUGGCCCGAUACUGACACUGAGGCGCGAAAGCGUGGGGAGCAAACAGG